UGGGAGGUACCACGGGUUAAUCACCAGAUGCCUUUAUAGUCAAGGUUGAGCAGGGUUUUGAGGUUUCCGGUGGAACAGGUGAACGGUAUUUACUUCCGUGCCCCCUGCAGGUUAACCAGCGGGAGCCGACCCCCUCAAACUAGGAACAGUAAUUGCAAAUAGACCCAGGCCGACCGCUGAUAGUGCGCCCACGUGCAGAAAUCUAGCGCGUUUCUGACCUGACGACAGCAGGCCCCUAGACGGGUUCCCAGAGUCAGAACAACCUCGGAAUCAAAUCUAAUUAUGAGUUGGGGAGGAGAGGGUUUGGGGUGGACUGUUUGUUUCUACUACCACCGCCACCAUCCGGCAAGGUUUAUUACCUUUUUCCUCCUGUUGCUGUGUUUUGAGUUCUUGAGUCAGAAAGUGGCGAAACUUCAUCAAGAAAUCAGAAGCCAGGGUACAAUGAUUCAAUGAUUGUAAGAAACCUCUCUCAAGGGAACUCUAUCCAGGGAAGUCCAUGAAGAAAAGCUUCAAGAAAACCAAUCUGUGUUACCCUAAUGGAAACAAGCUUCAGUGUAAAAAUACAAUGGAACAUUACUGCUAUACAUUAAUAGAGCACAGAGCAAAUCUGAGUUUGGUGUAUGAUAAAAGAAAAUCUCAGUUUUGAAGAUGGAAAAACAGUUAAAUUCUGAGACCAAGAAAAUUGAAAAGGUUGGGCACUAAUGGCUCCUGAGAAGCUCUCUGCUUCUCAGGAGGCAUAGAUCAGGAUGACUGUGGUUUGAAGCCAGUCCAGGCAAAUAGUUUGAGAGAUCCUAUCUCAAAAAUUACCUGUUACA